rnacentral:antisense_RNA from 1 species
CUUCAGCGAACCCAGCCAGAGCGGCUGUCCGGCGUCCCGCUCCUGACCGUACGUGGCGAUGAGCGCCUGCGCCUC